UGCAUCUGUGGCCGAGAGGCCGAAGGCAGCGGACUCAUCCGCCAUCCUGAAAAGGACACCGCUGGUUCGAAUCCAGCCAGAUGCAU
rnacentral:tRNA from 1 species